CAGCGGGUCGCGCCCCAGCACACCGACCCCCGCACGCGCACGCGGCUGUGGCGGUACCUCAGGUCUCGCCGUCGGUCGGGGCAGGUCCGGGGCUUGGCUGGGGCGCCCGGGGAGCUACGGGGACGCGGGGACUGCUCGCGGACCUGGCUCCUUUUAGCAGGAAAAGGUUUAAAACCACAGCGUGGCGAUGGUCGCCCCUGCGACAUACUGGAGAUUUUGGAAUUGUGUACUUUAAAUGGAUGAACUGAAUCAUACAUGAAUUACAUCUCAGUAGAGCUGCUUCCUAAAACAGGAAUGCAAGAAGCUGGCAAUCAAGGGGCAGAUGCGCACAGGAUGAGCAGGGAUGCAUCGGCGGCGGGUCGGCGGGCCCAGGUGGGAGCGUUCAGGAGGGAGAGCCCAGGGUUGCGAUGCAUUGAUUCGUAAAUACACGUCCUGAGACAUUUUAUAUGCAAGAUAAAACAAGGAAGCACCCUUGGCAGGUGGGUCGCUUGGGUUUCUUACUGAACAGCAAACUCUACGCUGGAGACUUGUCCAGAAAGGAAAUAGCUCGAGGGCAAAGGGUCCUGACCCUCUGGAAACUUAUGUACUCCAUUUCUGGGAACAGUGAUCUAAGUGUAAACAACAUCAGAAUCAGAUACCGAAUAACAUACAAAUAUAAUUUGUCCAAGUACGUAAGUUAUUUUUUGAAAUGCUAAUAACACAGUAAAUUAAAAUUUAUCACUUGCUGGUAACUUUUUUCUUUUGGUACCAGGUAUGGAACUCAG
rnacentral:lncRNA from 1 species